rnacentral:rRNA from 1 species
GCUUGUCUCAAAGAUUAAGCCAUGCAUGUCUAAGUACAAGCCUCAGUAAGGUGAAACCGCGAAUGGCUCAUUAAAUCAGUUAUCGUUUAUUUGAUAAUACCUUACUACUUGGAUAACCGUGGUAAUUCUAGAGCUAAUACAUGCUGAAAAUCCCGACUUCGGAAGGGAUGUGUUUAUUAGAUAAAAAACCAAUGCCCUUCGGGGCUUUUUGGUGAUUCAUGAUAACUUUACGGAUCGCAUAGCCUUGCGCUGGCGACGGUUCAUUCAAAUUUCUGCCCUAUCAACUUUCGAUGGUAAGGUAUUGGCUUACCAUGGUUUCAACGGGUAACGGGGAAUUAGGGUUCGAUUCCGGAGAGGGAGCCUGAGAAACGGCUACCACAUCCAAGGAAGGCAGCAGG